rnacentral:rRNA from 1 species
CAGUAGCCGCGGUAAUACGAAGGGGGCUAGCGUUGUUCGGAAUCACUGGGUGUAAAGGGUGCGUAGGCGGAUUCUUAAGUCAGGGGUGAAAUCCCGAGGCUCAACCUCGGAACUGCCUUCGAUACUGGGGAUCUUGAGUCCGGAAGAGGUGAGUGUAACUGUGAGUGUAGAGGUGAAAUUCGUAGAUAUUCGCAAGAACACCAGUGGCGAAGGCGGCUCACUGGUCCGGAACUGACGCUGAGGCACGACAGCGUGGGGAGCAAACAGGAUUAGAUACCCCCGUAGUCCCUGUCUCUUAUAC